GCCAGUGUGGCUCAGUGGUAGAGCGUGGGCCUGUGCACCGAAGGGUCUCAGGUUUGAUUCCUGGUUAAGGCA
rnacentral:tRNA from 1 species